ACCCUGCAUUGAGGUACAUAUAUGAGCACUCAAGCUAGAAUCUAAUACCUAACUAGAAGUAGAAGAAAUCAUGAGGUUAGAUUCUAUUACGAGCAUACCUUCGAAAGGUUUAUCACCCUUUUUGGUCUUUAGACUCUCUGAAUAUUUCAAGUAGUUCCUCCUCCAGUGGCUUUCAGCAUGACAGUGGAAACACUUUUCCUUUAUCUCAGCUGCCUUUAGACCAUCCUUCUUUGGCUUGCUCUUUCUCUUCUACUUCUUUACGAAUUUAACCUUCUUCCUUCCAGUAGACUUUCUCUCAGAAGAAGAAGUCCACUCCACAGUGAGAACAAUACCCCUUGAACUCUUCAAGGUACCUCCAUUGUGACCAACAUGUUGACAAGUUUGAGAAUAGUGCAGUCAAAUUUGUUCAUAUGAAAAUUCAUGAUAAAUUGACUAUAUGAACUAGAAGAAAUUGAAGGAUUAGAUCCAUCUGUAAUUUCUUUUGUAUAUCAAGCUCGAGCUUCUCAAGCUCCUCAAUAUCCUUAAUCACUAUCAUACAGUGCUCAUGGACAGACUGUUCCUCAUGUAUCUUGAGAUUGAAGAGUCUCUUGGACACUUUGAAGCAUGUAGUACAGCUUUGCUCACCAUAUAACUCUUGUAAGUAAGUGAUCA
rnacentral:lncRNA from 1 species